UACGUAGGUGGCAAGCGUUGUCCGGAUUUACUGGGCGUAAAGGAUGCGUAGGCGGACAUUUAAGUCAGAUGUGAAAUACCCGAGCUUAACUUGGGUGCUGCAUUUGAAACUGGGUGCCUAGAGUGCAGGAGAGGUAAGUGGAAUUCCUAGUGUAGCGGUGAAAUGCGUAGAGAUUAGGAAGAACACCAGUGGCGAAGGCGACUUACUGGACUGUAACUGACGCUGAGGCAUGAAAGCGUGGGGAGCAAACAGG
rnacentral:rRNA from 1 species